CAUGCUGGCUACACGCAAUACAAAAGUAUACAAAAUUUGCUAUGUUUUCCGCAUUUUACAACAUUUCGCAACCAAGCUUUGCAAUGUUACUCAUUUUAGUAUGCUCUUUCUAGCUGUGGUGAUUUAUUUUCCUUGCCUAGUUUUAAAAUUAGUCUAUAAUGGGAAUUGUGUAUUCGAGAGCGGUUUGGGGCUUUGAGAUUGUUUGA